rnacentral:rRNA from 1 species
AACGAACGCUGGCGGCGUGCUUAACACAUGCAAGUCGAACGGAAAGGCCCGCUUGCGGGUACUCGAGUGGCGAACGGGUGAGUAACACGUGGGCAACCUGCCCUCAGCUCUGGGAUAACUCCGGGAAACCGGUGCUAAUACUGGAUAUCGACUUCUGCUCGCAUGGGUGGUUGUUGAAAGUUUUUCGGCUGGGGAUGGGCCCGCGGCCUAUCAGCUUGUUGGUGGGGUGAUGGCCUACCAAGGCGACGACGGGUAGCCGGCCUGAGAGGGCGACCGGCCACACUGGGACUGAGACACGGCCCAGACUCCUACGGGAGGCAGCAGUGGGGAAUAUUGCACAAUGGGCGAAAGCCUGAUGCAGCAACGCCGCGUGAGGGAUGACGGCCUUCGGGUUGUAAACCUCUUUUAGUAGGGAAGAAGCGAAAGUGACGGUACCUGCAGAAAAAGCACCGGCUAACUACGUGCCAGCAGCCGCAGUAAUAC